rnacentral:rRNA from 1 species
UACGUAAAAGACUAGUGUUAGUCAUCUUUAUUAGGUUUAAAGGGUACCUAGACGGUAAAUUAAACCUUCAUAAGGUACUUUUUUACUAGAGUUUUAUAAGAGAAAGGGAGAACUUUUUGGAGUAGAGAUAAAAUUUUAUGAUACUAAAAGGACUGAUAAAGGCGAAGGCUGCUUUCUAUGUAAAAACUGACGUUGAGGGACGAAGGCUUGGGUAGCAAUAAGG